rnacentral:rRNA from 1 species
UACGUAGGGUGCGAGCGUUGUCCGGAAUUAUUGGGCGUAAAGAGCUCGUAGGCGGUGUGUCACGUCGGCCGUGAAAACCUGCAGCUUAACUGUGGGCGUGCGGUCGAUACGGGCAGACUUGAGUACUGCAGGGGAGACUGGAAUUCCACGUGUAGCGGUGAAAUGCGUAGAUAUCUGGAGGAACACCGGUGGCGAAGGCGGCAUCCUGGACCGACACUGACGCUGAGGAGCGAAAGCCAGGGGAGCAAACGGG